GACGAACGCUGGCGGCGUGCUUAACACAUGCAAGUCGAACGGAAAGGCCCUGCUUGCAGGGUACUCGAGUGGCGAACGGGUGAGUAACACGUGGGUGAUCUGCCCUGCACUUCGGGAUAAGCCUGGGAAACUGGGUCUAAUACCGGAUAGGAGCCAUUUUUAGUGUGAUGGUUGGAAAGUUUUUUCGGUGUAGGAUGAGCUCGCGGCCUAUCAGCUUGUUGGUGGGGUAAUGGCCUACCAAGGCGGCGACGGGUAGCCGGCCUGAGAGGGUGGACGGCCACAUUGGGACUGAGAUACGGCCCAGACUCCGACGGGAGGCAGCAGUGGGGAAUAUUGCACAAUGGGCGCAAGCCUGAUGCAGCGACGCCGCGUGGGGGAUGACGGCCUUCGGGUUGUAAACUCCCUUCGCUAGGGACGAAGCUUUUUGUGACGGUACCUAGAGAAGAAGCACCGGCUAACUACGUG
rnacentral:rRNA from 1 species